CACACUUUCACUCACCCACAACCCAUGCCACUCCCUCCUCUAGCAGCUCGUGCUCUCGUCCUCUCUAUCUCCGUCGUCGACUUUGUCCUCUCGUCCUCUCGAUGAGUUGCUACAAUCGAUUUAGAGGGCCAAUGGUGUAUGGAUGCUUGUACUGCGCCAGUUCAUAUUUGAAAGAACUUUCGUCUUUGAUUUUGCAGACUCAAAAACUUUGAAAGAAAAGAAGAGGGAGGAAUUGUUUGAAGAUUUGAAGGCUAACGAGUCAUUUGGAUGGGCUGUUGAUGUCUUAGAUCCUCGAGAACUUUCAUCUAAACUGCUAAAUAAGGAGUCGGACAAAGUGGAUGAAGAUGUGGCAAUGGCGGGAAGUGGUAAAAAGCAAUUAAAACUAAGCAAUCUUGGUAUCACCACAUCAAAGAGAAAGAGUGAAGAAAUUGAAUCAAAUGCCAAAGGACGGUGCAAGUUUUUCCAGGCUAGAUAGGAAGAUUGCAUUGGACAUGUUUUAAGAAGGUUGAUAAGUGGAGAAGGUGCAUCCAACACAAAAAGGACUUCAUAACAACAUUAAUAACAAAUACAAGAUAAUAUUUAAAGUUGUUUAUCUUAAAAGUCUAUUUGUUCUAAAGUUUUGGAUUAGAUUCAUUGUUGGAAUACUAUAACUAUCCUACAGUUAUGGUAGUCAUAGCCAGUCCUCUAAAUAUACUGACGCCAAUGGUACCAUCAAACUCUUGAAUGGACAUGCCAUGCAUAACAUGAACGAUGUAGACAUGAUCCGUAUCAAUUUGAACGAGCAUAUAUUUUGAAGAAACAAAUUUAUUUAUUUAGGCCGCGAUGAUCUGAUCUAAUAUUGUAAUAUGGUUGAAAUAGGUUACAUGUGUAUUUUGACAUACAUUGCGUAAGUAUUACUCAUCUAGAUUCACUCAUGUAUAUUUUGUUUUAUGUUUAAAUAAUAACUUUUACUUUGUUUAGGUAUAUUUGGGAUGAAUGUGGUUGUGAUAUUACGAAGAAGUUUUUUAUAAUUGAUCAAGCAAGAAUAUCGCCACACGUGAAGUCUCAAGAUAUUCGAUCCAGAAAUUUAGCCAACCAACUAGAAUGGGCUAAUUUGGACCAAUUAGUCCUUAUUCCAUAUAACACAGGUUAUCAUUGGAUAUUGAUUGUAAUCAAUCUACAAGAAUAUUGUGUUUAUGUUUUGGA